UAGAUUGAAGCCAGUAUUGGGUGUUUAGCUGUUAACUAAAAUUUUAUAGGUUUGAAUCCUAUCAAUCUAG
rnacentral:tRNA from 1 species